CUGAUUUCAUCCCUCAACACCACAAACAGUUGUUGCUCAGUCGGAAGGCUGCAGCCAAAGAGUCUUUAUGCCAGGCAGCCCUGGGUCUCAUCCUCAAGGAGAAAGCCAUGACCGACGCUUUCACUCUUCAGGCACAUGAUCAAUUCUCUCCAUUUUCGUCUAGCAGUGGAAGAAGACUGAAUAUCUCUUAUACCAGAAACAUGACUCUUAAAGAUGGUAAAAACAGUUUUCAUCUCCUCGGAUAAUCAACCAUUUCCAUACUCAUGUAAUCUAGGCAUACUCUGGAGUUAUUACAGGUUUGGUUCCAGACCACUACAAUAAAAUGUAGCCAUAGCUGUAACGUAUAACCAUGAUGGGUCUUAUAGCAUGCAGAUUGAAGAUAAAACUUUCCAAGUCCUUGGUAAUCUUUACAGAGAGGCAGACUGCACUUACCUGAAAUGUUCUGUUAAUGGAGUUGC
rnacentral:sRNA from 1 species